UACGGAGGGGCUAGCGUUGUUCGGAAUUACUGGGCGUAAAGCGCACGUAGGCGGACUGUUAAGUCGGGGGUGAAAUCCUGGAGCUCAACUCCAGAACUGCCUUUGAUACUGGCGAUCUCGAGUCCGGGAGAGGUGAGUGGAACUGCGAGUGUAGAGGUGAAAUUCGUAGAUAUUCGCAAGAACACCAGUGGCGAAGGCGGCCACCUAGCCCGCACCUGACGCUGAGGCGCGACAGCGUGGGGAGCGGAACUG
rnacentral:rRNA from 1 species